rnacentral:rRNA from 1 species
GAUGAACGCUGGCGGCGUGCCUAAUACAUGCAAGUCGAGCGAACAGAUGAGGAGCUUGCUCCUCUGACGUUAGCGGCGGACGGGUGAGUAACACGUGGAUAACCUACCUAUAAGACUGGGAUAACUUCGGGAAACCGGAGCUAAUACCGGAUAAUAUAUUGAACCGCAUGGUUCAAUAGUGAAAGACGGUUUUGCUGUCACUUAUAGAUGGAUCCGCGCCGCAUUAGCUAGUUGGUAAGGUAACGGCUUACCAAAGCAACGAUGCGUAGCCGACCUGAGAGGGUGAUCGGCCACACUGGAACUGAGACACGGUCCAGACUCCUACGGGAGGCAGCAGUAGGGAAUCUUCCGCAAUGGGCGAAAGCCUGACGGAGCAACGCCGCGUGAGUGAUGAAGGUCUUCGGAUCGUAAAACUCUGUUAUUAGGGAAGAACAAAUGUGUAAGUAACUAUGCACGUCUUGACGGUACCUAAUCAGAAAGCCACGGCUAACUACGUG